UACGUAGGGGGCGAGCGUUGUCCGGAUUUAUUGGGCGUAAAGAGCUCGUAGGCGGUUCGAUAAGUCAGGUGUAAAAACUCCAGGCUCAACUUGGAGAGGCCACCUGAUACUGUCGUGACUAGAGUCCGGUAGAGGAGCACGGAAUUCCUGGUGUAGCGGUGAAAUGCGCAGAUAUCAGAGGAACACCAGCGGCGAAGGCGGUGCUCUGGGCCGGAACUGACGCUGAGGAGCGAAAAGCGUGGGGAGCGAAACAGG
rnacentral:rRNA from 1 species